rfam:Epilithonimonas sp. FH1 contig07, whole genome shotgun sequence.
CCAUAGCCCCGAUUGCAACGGCAUCCUUUUUCUGCGGUGGCUUGAAAAAAGCGAGGGCGAAAAAGAUAUAGUGGAAAGCGGGAUUUAGC